GUGCAUUUCGGGAAUUUCGGCAUCAUUCUGUUGGCUUAACUAGUAUUAUGCUGAUAUUCACGAGAUGAUUU
rnacentral:pre_miRNA from 1 species